rnacentral:rRNA from 1 species
ACGAACGCUGGCGGCGUGCUUAACACAUGCAAGUCGAACGGAAAGGCCCUGCUUUUGUGGGGUGCUCGAGUGGCGAACGGGUGAGUAACACGUGAGUAACCUGCCCUUGACUUUGGGAUAACUUCAGGAAACUGGGGCUAAUACCGGAUAGGAGCUCCUGCUGCAUGGUGGGGGUUGGAAAGUUUCGGCGGUUGGGGAUGGACUCGCGGCUUAUCAGCUUGUUGGUGGGGUAGUGGCUUACCAAGGCUUUGACGGGUAGCCGGCCUGAGAGGGUGACCGGCCACAUUGGGACUGAGAUACGGCCCAGACUCCUACGGGAGGCAGCAGUGGGGAAUAUUGCACAAUGGGCGGAAGCCUGAUGCAGCAACGCCGCGUGCGGGAUGACGGCCUUCGGGUUGUAAACCGCUUUCGCCUGUGACGAAGCGUGAGUGACGGUAAUGGGUAAAGAAGCACCGGCUAACUACGUGCCAGCAGCCGCGGUGAUACGUAGGGUGCGAGCGUUGCCCGGAUUUAUUGGGCGUAAAGGGCUCGUAGGUGGUUGAUCGCGUCGGAAGUGUAAUCUUGGGGCUUAACCCUGAGCGUGCUUUCGAUACGGGUUGACUUGAGGAAGGUAGGGGAGAAUGGAAUUCCUGGUGGAGCGGUGGAAUGCGCAGAUAUCAGGAGGAACACCAGUGGCGAAGGCGGUUCUCUGGGCCUUUCCUGACGCUGAGGAGCGAAAGCGUGGGGAGCGAACAGGCUUAGAUACCCUGGUAGUCCACGCUGUAAACGGUGGGUACUAGGUGUGGGGUCCAUUCCACGGGUUCCGUGCCGUAGCUAACGCUUUAAGUACCCCGCCUGGGGAGUACGGCCGCAAGGCUAAAACUCAAAGGAAUUGACGGGGCCCCGCACAAGCGGCGGAGCAUGCGGAUUAAUUCGAUGCAACGCGUAGAACCUUACCUGGGUUUGACAUGGAUCGGGAGUGCUCAGAGAUGGGUGUGCCUCUUUUGGGGUCGGUUCACAGGUGGUGCAUGCCUGUCGUCAGCUCGUGUCGUGAGAUGUUGGGUUAAGUCCCGCAACGAGCGCAACCCUUGUUCACUGUUGCCAGCACGUUAUGGUGGGGACUCAGUGGAGACCGCCGGGGUCAACUCGGAGGAAGGUGGGGAUGACGUCAAGUCAUCAUGCCCCUUAUGUCCAGGGCUUCACGCAUGCUACAAUGGCUGGUACAGAGAGUGGCGAGCCUGUGAGGGUGAGCGAAUCUCGGAAAGCCGGUCUCAGUUCGGAUUGGGGUCUGCAACUCGACCUCAUGAAGUCGGAGUCGCUAGUAAUCGCAGAUCAGCAACGCUGCGGUGAAUACGUUCCCGGGGCUUGUACACACCGCCCGUCAAGUCAUGAAAGUUGGUAACACCCGAAGCCGGUGGCCUAACCGUUGUGGGGGAGCCGUCGAAGGUGGGACUGGUGAUUAGGACUAAGUCGUAACAAGGUAGCCGUACCGGAAGGUGCGGCUG